AAUACACCUUUUUCCCCCUUCCACAGUUCAUUCAGGCAAGUAAAACUCUUUUUGGUUCUUCUAGAAAAAUGUUUGCAAGUGAAUGAUGAUUAGAAAAUGUCUGUGAAAAGUUGUGAAAAAAGGAAAUUAAAUUUUUGAGGCAACUGCGUCUAGUUUUGAACAAGAUUCGGCGUUUUUUUCUUUCUUUGAAACAAAUUAAAAAUAGUUUGAUUUUUUUCCUUCAAAUCAAGUGCUGAGUUUUUGUGAGCAUAGGAUAGGGAGGGAGGAGGUCCUGAAAUUUUCAGAAUUCAAUUAAAAUUAAGUUUUUUUUGUAGCUGUGCUGCCGUGGUGCCAGGCUUAUCUACUCGUAUACUUAGUGUCUAGACUUAUCUUUGUGUUUUAUUUCUGAAAAAGUAAACUCGUUUCUAGGAUAUAAUUUUAUCAAAAAAAUUUCAUGUGACAAGUAAAUAGCUUUUGUCUUUCAACUCAAUGGUAAUGCAUUCGAGUUCUACUCACAUUCAUCUGCUUUUUACAGUCCCUAUCUACUUACGUUUCAAUUUUUGAAUACUACUACUGGUUGGUAAUAUUUUGAAAAAAUUGCAGUGUUGUUUUAAUUUCACAAAGUAAUUAUGAAUUCCAGUGAAAUAUUCACUUUUGUUUUUAUGAUAAUGGUGGCAUUGAUACAAUUCGGCUCUUCUGACGAUUGUGUAAAUCCAAGAGGCGAUUGCAGUUCUAAAAAAUGCUGCUAUGGACAAUGUUUGUUUGGAAGAUGUCCCAUCAUUCCUCCAUAAUAAUAAUUCAUGAAGGUGUAAAAACAAAUCUUAGAUUUGAUUUAAUAAUGAUUUUGAAUUUGUGCAACUUAUUAUUUUAAGAAUCAUUUUAAUUAGGUAGUACUUGCUGACCUAGGCACUCAUUAGUUUUUCGCCCAAAUGCUGAAAAUCCAGACAAAAUACGAGCAUUGGAAAUCAUUUCAAUGGUGGAAAUUCGUUGAAAUUUUCCCCAAAGAGCAUAGCCAGUUGCGCUCCGCCUGGACAAGAUUGUAGCAAAAAAAGAUGCUGUCAUGCAGGAUGUUUAUCAAAUAAGAAAUGCGCCUGGCUUCGCAUGUAAAAUACCUUCUUGUGUGUCUAGUUCUCGAUUAAGUAAUCAUAAGACUUUACAAAGUUGAAUGAUUAACUUCAUUAAAAAUUAUAAUUUGUGAAAAUAAAAUGUUUGAGAUCAUUUUCUGUAGGUACAUAUGUAUAUAUACGUUAAAGUGAAUUAUUUUUCAAAAUAAGUGAAAUUAUUAUUUUUUAUUCGCAUUAAUAGGUAGGAAAUUUUUUCCAACAUUUUUUUUCUAUUAUCAUAGUCAAUAUUUUUGAACACUUUUAAUCCGGUACUUGGAUUGAGUGUAUUUUUCAUUCAAUCGAGUGUCUCCUAAAAAUCAUGCAAAGCUUGAAUAGUGUUUUUGCUACACUGAGUGUCACACAUUGCUUCGGUGCUAAGUAAUGUGCUAGAAUGUGUUCAACGAAUUCGAAAAGAUUAGCUCAUUUCUUGGAUAUUAUUUUUUCGAAGUAAUUUCACACGGCAUUUAGUUACUGAUGUCUUUUAUCUUUUAACUUGAUAGUAGUAAAUUUGGAUUCUAUGAAGAGAAUAUUAUUCAUUUUUUGUUUUGUUUUCCAUAUUACCUAUAUCGGUUCACUGUUUGAGUGUCUUCAGUUUACCUACUUAUAUUUUGAUAAAAUUUCAGCACCUACUGGUUUAUUUAGUUGCAGCAUUAUGAAUUUUUGUAAAAUAUUGGUAUUCGUUUUUUCCAUGGUGCUAGUAUUGGCACAGUUUGGUUCUUGUAAUGAUAGUUGUGCUGGACCUGGACAAGAUUGUAGUCAAAAAAGAUGCUGUUACGGAGGAUGUUUAUCACAUAAGACAUGUGUCUGGUAUCCCAAAUGAAAUACCUAUUUGUUUAUUUAAUAAUUCGUUAUAACAAACGAGUAGGUAUAGGAUUUGCUAUAUUUACUUUUGCAUAUAGGUACGUAUGUACUCGUACAUAUAAGUACUGAAUUAUUGAUUCAUUAAAUUAUUUUAGUUCAAUAAAAAUAUAUGGGAGUGGAAUAAUUGCAUCAGUACAUUUUGUUUGACGAUUUGUUGUUCAUUUUUUACUUCUACUCUUUUGUAUCGGUUCAUUUGUAAAAAUUUUGGAAAGACCCCAGCACGGCGCAAAAAACAUGUCGCGGUCAAAAAGAUAACCUAUUUCUUGGAUAUCGUUUUAUCGAAGUAACUUUACAUGGCCCUUAAAAGAUAGCUCGUAUCUUUUGACCCGAUGCUAGCAAACUUGAAAUUGUAUGCAGCGUAUUGUAUUCACUUGUUUUUUGUAACUCGUUCUAAUUUUCGAGUGUCUUCAAUUUAUAUUUUUAUAAAAUUGCAAUACGUACUGGUUUACUUGUUCGUGGCAUUAUGAAUUUCUGUAAAAUAUUCAUAUUUAUUUGUUUCAUCAUGCUAGUAUUGGUACAGUUUGGUUCUUGUGAUGAUUGUAUUUCACCUGGAGGAAUUUGUAGCGAAGAAUUAAGAUGCUGUUAUGCAGGAUGUUCAAAUGGGAAAUGUAUCUAUCUUCCCAAAUAAAAUGUCUACUUGUGUAUCUAAUAAUUCGUUAUACAAAACGUGUAUGUUGGUAUAUAGGAUUUGUUAAAUCAACUUUUGCAUAUAAGUACUAAAUUGAUUCAUUAUAAAUUAUUUUAGUUAGACGAAAAUAAUACAUAUUAUGAGAGUGAAAUAAUUGCAUCAGUACACUUUGUUUGACGAUUCGUUAUUCACUUUUUACUUCUACUCUUUUGUAGUCAUUUAUCCCCAAGUUUAAAAUCCGAUAAAAAAAAUUGUAAAAUCAGAUACUUAACUGUGCUAUGACUGAAAAACGCUGGAAAUUGAUCUAAUUUUUUCCAUUAAUAAGAUUUUGGUAGCUACCAAAAUCUUAUUAAGAAUUAAUGAAAUUUAUCAAUUUUCUUUCUUUCAUUUUUGUUUCCAAAAGUCGGACGUGAUAAAUUAUGAAAAAUUCAACUAUUUUCCCCAAGUUUUCAAAAGUCAGCACGAUGCAGACCAGCGUCAUCGUGGAUUGACGCAUUAUUUGUAAAAAUUUUAGGAAGACCCCUCGGUGAGGUGCAAAUAAUCAUGUUCCUGUUAAAAAGAUUACCCUAUUUCUUGGAUAUUGUUUUAUCGAAGUAACUUUACAUGGCCCUUGAUAGAUAGGUAGCUUGUAUCUUUUGACUCGAUGGUCGUAAAAUUGAAAUUUUAUGCAGCGCAUUAUAUUCACUUAUUCUUUGUACCUAACUCGUUUUCAUUUUCGAGUGUCUUCAGUUUAUAUUUUGAUAAAAUUGCAGUAUUGGUUUACUUUUCUAUUUAUUUAAUGUAAUAAUUUUUUAAUUAUUUUUAUUUAUUAAAACCAUGCCUAUGGAGGUGGAAUAACUGCAUCAAUUUCAUUUAGUUCGAUGAUUAUAGAUUAAUAGCUGCUUAUUUUUUUAUGUCAACUCUUCUGCAUCGCUUUGGUGCAAUUUUGAAAUAUUAUACAUGCUUACUCAUUUUUUCAAAAGUAAGAGGAACAAAGUGAACAAGUAAAAGUUCCCAACUCGGAAAAAUUAUUAAGUAAUCAUAAGACUUUACAAAAUUGAAACAUUAAUUUUUCAUUAAAUAUUACAAUACCUACGUAUCACAAAUAAAAUGUUUUGAGAUCAUUUUCUGUACGUUAAAGCGAAGAAUUUUUUAAAAGAAGUAAAAUUAUUUUUUUGUUUGCA